UACGGAGGAUCCGAGCGUUAUCCGGAUUUAUUGGGUUUAAAGGGUGGUCGGUAGGUGGUUUGUAUAAGUCAGCGGUGAAAGUUUGCAGCUUAACUGUAAAAUAGACCGUUGAAACUGUCGGACUUGAGUGUAAAUGAGGUAGGCGGAAUGCGUGGUGUAGCGGUGAAAUGCAUAGAUAUCACGCAGAACUCCGAUUGCGAAGGCAGCUUACUAAGCUACAACUGACACUGAAGCACGAAAGCGUGGGGAUCAAACAGGAUUAGAUACCCCGUACGUACCUCC
rnacentral:rRNA from 1 species